rnacentral:pre_miRNA from 1 species
GUAACUCUAAUUUGUAUGGAGUUGUAAUAAAUGCCUACGUUUGCCACUAGGAGCGCUGUUCUAACUGCAUACAAAUUUGAGGUA